UCGCUUCAGUAGCACGUAUGCUGAGACUGGAAUGAUACAGAGAAGAUUAAGAUGGCCCCUGCUCAAAGAUGACGUGCAAAUUCGUGAACCAUUCCAUAGUUAG
ensembl:snRNA U6 U6 spliceosomal RNA